ACGGGAGGCAGCAGUGGGGAAUAUUGCACAAUGGGGGAAACCCUGAUGCAGCGACGCCGCGUGAGCGAUGAAGUAUUUCGGUAUGUAAAGCUCUAUCAGCAGGGAAGAUAAUGACGGUACCUGACUAAGAAGCUCCGGCUAACUACGUGCCAGCAGCCGCGGUAAUACGUAGGGGGCAAGCGUUAUCCGGAUUUACUGGGUGUAAAGGGAGCGCAGGCGGUUUUUUAAGUCUGAUGAGAAAGCCCGUGGCUCAACUGCGGGACUGCAUUGGAAACUGGAGAACUAGAGUGUAGGAGGGGCAAGUGGAAUUCCUAGUGUAGCGGUGAAAUGCGUAGAUAUUAGGAGGAACACCAGUGGCGAAGGCGGCUUGCUGGACGAUAACUGACGCUGAGGCUCGAAAGCGUGGGGAGCAAACAGGAUUAGAUACCCUGGUA
rnacentral:rRNA from 1 species